GCGAGAACCAGUCCUUCGGGACUGGGGAAAGCGGCGAACGGGUGAGUAACACGUGGGUAAUCUGCCCUCGGCACUGGGAUAGCCCGGGGAAACCCGGAUUAAUACCGGAUAGCCUUUCGAGCCUUCGGGCUCGUCAGAAAAGGUGGCUUCGGCUUCCGGCUGAGGAUGAGCCCGCGGCGGAUUAGCUUGUUGGUGAGGUAAUGGCUCACCAAGGCUCCGAUCUGUAGCUGGUCUGAGAGGACGAUCAGCCACACUGGGACUGAGACACGGCCCAGACUCCUACGGGAGGCAGCAGUAGGGAAUCUUGCGCAAUGGGCGAAAGCCUGACGCAGCGACGCCGCGUGCGGGAAGAAGGCCUUCGGGUUGUAAACCGCUUUCAGGAGGGACGAAGCCACUCGGGUUAAUAGCCCAGAGGGUGACGGUACCUCCAGAAGAAGCCCCGGCUAACUACGUGCCAGCAGCCGCGGUAAUACGUAGGGGGCAAGCGUUG
rnacentral:rRNA from 1 species